AUUAAUACAUGCAAUUUGGACGGAAAACACAAAAAAUGGAUGUUUUCAAUGGCGGAAGGGUAGGUAACACGUAAGAACUUGUCCAUGGGAGGGAAACAACACCUGGAAACGACUGCUAAUACCCCGCAAUCUAAGGAGCAAAAGGAGCAAUCGUCCGAGAAGGGGCUCGCGUCUGAUUAGUUGGUGAGGCAUAGCUUACUAAGACGAUGAUCAGUAGCUGAUCUGAGAGGAUGAUCAGCUACAGUGGGACUGCAGUAGU
rnacentral:ncRNA from 1 species